rnacentral:rRNA from 1 species
GUAGGUGGCAAGCGUUGUCCGGAAUUAUUGGGCGUAAAGCGCGCGCAGGCGGUCCUUUAAGUCUGAUGUGAAAGCCCACGGGCUCAACCGUGGAGGGUCAUUGGAAACUGGGGGACUUGAGUACAGAAGAGGAAAGCGGAAUUCCAAGUGUAGCGGUGAAAUGCGUAGAGAUUUGGAGGAACACAAGUGGCGAAGGCGGCUUUCUGGUCUGUAACUGACGCUGAGGCGCGAAAGCGUGGGGAGCAAACAGGAUUAGAUACCCUGGUAGUCCACGCCGUAAACGAUGAGUGCUAAGUGUUAGGGGGUUUCCGCCCCUUAGUGCUGCAGCUAACGCAUUAAGCACUCCGCCUGGGGAGUACGGCCGCAAAGGCUGA